UGUUAUGAAUCUCCCUGUCAAAAUUCUUUUGUUUUAGGUGUUGUGAUCUUGCUCAUAAGUAUUGAUAUAUCGAUUACUGUUACAGGGCCUUAGCUCAAUUGCUAUGCGCCAAGCAGAGCAAUCACUCAGCGGAAAGCAUUGGGGUGUAUCUUCGAACGUUAAGCAAGCUAUCUCCACAACGGCAGCUCGAUUCUCUGGAUUUAUGCAACACGAUGCGCAAGAGUUCCUCUGUCAGUGCCUGGAUCAACUCAAAGACGACACCGAAAGGGCCAACAAGAGGGCGCUAAACUCCCCCUUGGACGAGACCCCAGGGACGGAUGAUGAUAAAAUGAAACUGAGGUCUCGCUAUCCGCACGACUGCCCGAUUGUCAAGAACUUUGAAUUUGAAGUCAUGCACUCUACGAUCUCUCGCUGGACAUGCCCAGAAGGAGACAUUCUAACCCGAUCGGGUCGAUCCAGACGGCGCUGGAGCAGUUCUUCAGAGAGAGGGUAUAGAGUAUGCCUGCGGAGAAUGUGACUGCAAGCAGGCUAUAGUCACGCAUAAGUUCACUAAGCUACCAAGGGUAAUUAUCAUUCAUCUUAAGCGCUACAAAUUUGACGCCUGACGCCUUCCAGUACUCCAAGCUCCGUCGCCGCAUCCUCAUACCCAGGUACUUGUCCGUCCACUACCACUGCACCAAGGAAACCCAGAGUCCAACCUCUCUCCCAAAGUCAUUAGUCAACGGGACGUCAUCUCCAAGGCCACAACAACUCAAUGCCGAGAGAACUCAAAGGUUGUCCCUCACAGCCCCGUCGACGAGGGAAUCUAAUUGGUCUGCAAGGAGCGAGUCGUUUAAGCCCUCGCGCUUCAGUUUUACGCCCACUGCGCCCUCAAGAAAGAGGCUGAACUAUGACGACAACAGUAAACAAACAAGCCAAACCAUUCUCCUGGAAAAUAACACAGACUCAGACGGUGACGAGAACAAAAAAGUCUUAGAGAUGAGUAAAAAAGAGUCGGAGAGAAAAAAGCGAGAAGCAGAUGAGAGGUUGCGGCUUGAGGAAGAAGAAUUGAAAAAGGAAUCCUUGAGAAGAUGACACUCUGAGAUGUGCAGAAAGAUGUGUGGGGAGGCAGCCCACCUGCAAGGCCUCCCCUGAAAUGGCUGCUGAAGAGACACGAGUACAUAAAGUGCCAUAGAAGCUUUACUGUAGUGAAAUAUUUGCCAUCAUCCUGCAAUACACACAUGUCAUUCUAACCCGAUCGGGUCGAUCCAGACGGCGCUGGAGCAGUUCUUCAGAGAGGAGGGUAUAGAGUAUGCCUGCGGAGAAUGUGACUGCAAGCAGGCUAUAGUCACGCAUAAGUUCACUAAGCUACCAAGGGUAAUUAUCAUUCAUCUUAAGCGCUACAAAUUUGACGCCUGACGCCUUCCAGUACUCCAAGCUCCGUCGCCGCAUCCUCAUACCCAGGUACUUGUCCGUCCACUACCACUGCACCAAGGAAACCCAGAGUCCAACCUCUCUCCCAAAGUCAUUAGUCAACGGGACGUCAUCUCCAAGGCCACAACAACUCAAUGCCGAGAGAACUCAAAGGUUGUCCCUCACAGCCCCGUCGACGAGGGAAUCUAAUUGGUCUUCAAGGAGCGAGUCGUUUAAGCCCUCGCGCUUCAGUUUUGCGCCCUCAAGAAAGAGGCUGAACUAUGACGACAACAGUAAACAACCAAGCCAAACCAUUCUCCUGGAAAGUAACACAGACUCAGACGGUGACGAGAACAAAAAAGUCUUAGAGAUGAGUAAAAAAGAGUCGGAGAGAAAAAAGCGAGAAGCAGAUGAGAGGUUGCGGCUUGAGGAAGAAGAAUUGAAAAAGGUCUAAAAGAGAAAUGACAAGACAAGCACAUAAGAAAAUGAGAUGAUGGAAAACCUCUUUAGUUGUUUGUGUUCUGCUCAGAUGUUGCCUAGCGACAAGGGAUGCUCAGUACUUUGAUAACAUCUUCUCCACAUUGGGGAGAUUGAAAGAGAACAGGUGAUGAGGAGGGUGACUCCAGGAAUGCGGCCCCAUUACAAUGUGAGCAUGAGGCAACCACGGACACAUGUUUAUGCCAGACUGCAACACUGUACUAAUGAAACUCAAUGCAUGCAUCAAGGACAUUCACCAAAGAGCCACUGCAAACAAGAUGAUGCUUAAUGCUGCAAAGCAUUGGUUCUUCAUUUUACAUCAAGAUUUUCACAACAGCCACUUCCAGUCAUUUCCAUCACGGUUGGUGAUGUGAAACCACUCAACAAAAGCCAGAAAUCUCUGUGCAGUCAUGGAUGAACAUCUACAUGUAUCACUGAAGGCCCAUGUCUCUACCCUAUAUGCCGCUCUUAAAUUACUGUCAUCCAAAGAUGUUUUAAAUUUAGAAAAUAAUGAUCCACACAAAUACACCUGGAAAUUGUUUAGUUUUCCUUGGCCGUCU